rnacentral:rRNA from 1 species
UACGAGGGGUGCAAGCGUUGCUCGGAAUUAUUGGGCGUAAAGGGUGGGUAGGUGGUCUCAUUUGUCUGGGGUGAAAGCCUUGAGCUUAACUCAAGAAGUGCCCCGGAAACGGUGAGACUGGAGUCCUAGAGAGGGUCGUGGAAUUCCCGGUGUAGCGGUGAAAUGCGUAGAGAUCGGGAAGAACAUCGGUGGCGAAAGCGCUCUACUGGACCGCAACUGACACUCAGGGACGAAAGCUAGGGGAGCGAAUGGG